UGAGGAAUAUUGGUCAAUGGGGCGGAAGCCUGAACCAGCCAAGUAGCGUGCAGGACGACGGCCCUAUGGGUUGUAAACUGCUUUUAUGCGGGGAUAAAGUGGGCCACGCGUGGCCUUUUGCAGGUACCGCAUGAAUAAGGACCGGCUAAUUCCGUGCCAGCAGCCGCGGUAAUACGGAAGGUCCGGGCGUUAUCCGGAUUUAUUGGGUUUAAAGGGAGCGCAGGCCGCCGGGCAAGCGCGUUGUGAAAUGCAGUCGCUCAACGUCUGCACUGCAGCGCGAACUGGAUGACUUGAGUUCGCGGGAGGUAGGCGGAAUUCGUGGUGUAGCGGUGAAAUGCUUAGAUAUCACGAAGAACUCCGAUUGCGAAGGCAGCUUACCGUAGCGUUACUGACGCUGAAGCUCGAAAGUGCGGGUAUCGAACAGGAUUAGAUACCCUGGUAGU
rnacentral:rRNA from 1 species